GGCACUAGGAGCCGAUGAAGGACGGGACGAACACCGAUAUGCUUCGGGGAGCUGUAAGCAAGCUUUGAUCCGGAGAUUUCCGAAUGGGGAAACCCACUGCUCGUAAUGGAGCAGUAUCCAUAUCUGAAUUCAUAGGAUAUGAGAAGGCAGACCCGGGGAACUGAAACAUCUAAGUACCCGGAGGAAGAGAAAGCAAAUGCGAUUCCCUGAGUAGCGGCGAGCGAAACGGGAACAGCCCAAACCAAGAGGCUUGCCUCUUGGGGUUGUAGGACACUCUGUACGGAGUUACAAAAGAACGAGGUAGAUGAAGAGGUCUGGAAAGGCCCGCGAUAGAGGUAAAAGCCCUGUAACCUAAACUGUGUUCUCUCCGAGACGGAUCCCGAGUAGUGCGGGGCACGUGAAACCCCGUAUGAAUCCAGCAGGACCAUCUGCUAAGGCUAAAUACUACCUGGCGACCGAUAGUGAAACAGUACCGUGAGGGAAAGGUGAAAAGCACCCCGGAAGGGGAGUGAAAGAGAUCCUGAAACCGUGUGCCUACAAGUAGUCAGAGCCCGUUAACGGGUGAUGGCGUGCCUUUUGUAGAAUGAACCGGCGAGUUACGAUCCCGUGCAAGGUUAAGUUUGAAAAGACGGAGCCGCAGCGAAAGCGAGUCUGAAUAGGGCGCAUGAGUACGUGGUCGUAGACCCGAAACCAGGUGAUCUACCCAUGUCCAGGGUGAAGUUCAGGUAACACUGAAUGGA
rnacentral:rRNA from 1 species